AUUGAACGCUGGCGGCAUGCUUUACACAUGCAAGUCGAACGGUAACAGGUUAAGCUGACGAGUGGCGAACGGGUGAGUAAUGCAUCGGAACGUGCCCGAUCGUGGGGGAUAACGCAGCGAAAGCUGCGCUAAUACCGCAUACGAUCUGAGGAUGAAAGCGGGGGACCGUAAGGCCUCGCGCGAUCGGAGCGGCCGAUGUCAGAUUAGGUAGUUGGUGGGGUAAAGGCUCACCAAGCCGACGAUCUGUAGCUGGUCUGAGAGGACGACCAGCCCCACUGGGACUGAGACACGGCCCAGACUCCUACGGGAGGCAGCAGUGGGGAAUUUUGGACAAUGGGCGCAAGCCUGAUCCAGCAAUGCCGCGUGCAGGAAGAAGGCCUUCGGGUUGUAAACUGCUUUUGUACGGAGCGAAAAGGCUCUCUCUAAUACAGGGGGCUCAUGACGGUACCGUAAGAAUAAGCACCGGCUAACUACGUGCCAGCCGCCGCAGUAACAC
rnacentral:rRNA from 1 species